CAGGAUUAGAUACCCUGGUAGUCCACGCUGUAAACGAUGGAUGCUAGGUGUAGGAGAUAUCGACCCCUUCUGUGCCGGAGUUAACACAAUAAGCAUCCCGCCUGGGGAGUACGGCCGCAAGGUUGAAACUCAAAGGAAUUGACGGGGGCCCGCACAAGCAGCGGAGCAUGUGGUUUAAUUCGAAGCAACGCGAAGAACCUUACCAGGUCUUGACAUCGAUGGAACCUGUAGAGAUACGGGGCGCCCUUCGGGGCCCUGAAGACAGGUGGUGCAUGGUUGUCGUCAGCUCGUGUCGUGAGAUGUUGGGUUAAGUCCCGCAACGAGCGCAACCCUUGUUGUCAGUUACUAACGCACAAUGGCGAGGACUCUGACGAGACUGCCGGGGACAACUCGGAGGAAGGUGGGGACGACGUCAAAUCAUCAUGCCCCUUAUGACCUGGGCUACACACGUGCUACAAUGGCCACUACAAAGAGAGGCGAGGUCGCAAGACGGAGCAGAUCUGGAAAAAGUGGUCUCAGUUCAGAUCGUGGGCUGCAACCCGCCCACGUGAAGUCGGAGUUGCUAGUAAUCGCGAAUCAGCAUGUCGCGGUGAAUACGUUCCCGGGCCUUGUACACACCGCCCGUCACACCAUGGGAGUUGGGAGCACCCGAAGCGGGUGAGGUAACCGAAAGGAGCCAGCCUUCGAAGGUGAGAUCAAUGACUGGGGUGAAGUCGUAACAAGG
rnacentral:rRNA from 1 species